rnacentral:rRNA from 1 species
UACGUAGGGACCAAGCGUUGUUCGGAUUUACUGGGCGUAAAGGGCGCGUAGGCGGCCUAGCAAGUCACUUGUGAAAUCUCCGGGCUUAACUCGGAACUGCCAAGUGAAACUGCUGGGCUAGAGUGCAGAAGGGGCAAUCGGAAUUCUUGGUGUAGCGGUGAAAUGCGUAGAUAUCAAGAGGAACACCUGAGGUGAAGACGGGUUGCUGGGCUGACACUGACGCUGAGGCGCGAAGGUCAGGGGAGCAAACGGG